CAAUAGCGUAUAUUAAUGUUGUUGCAGUUAAAAAGCUCGUAGUUGGAUAUCUGGCCUUUGCGUUGACGACCCGCCCUCUUUUGGGAUGAGCGUUGGAGACGUGGGUCUAUUUUCCGGUUGGUGUCCAUUCCACUUUAUUGGGGCGUGGUUCACGAUCCGGAUCGUUUACUUUGAAAAAAUUCGAGUGUUCAUAGCAGGCUUACGCCGUGAAGAUCGCAGCAUGGAAUAAUAACAUAGGACUUGGCGUUCUAUUUUGUUGGUUCUGGAACCUAAGUAAUGAUUGAUAGGGACAGUUGGGGGUGCUGCUAUAGACUGGCCAGAGGUGAAAUUCUAAGACUCAGUCUAGAGCAACUUAUACGAAAGCAUUCACCAAGGAUGUCUUCUUUAA
rnacentral:rRNA from 1 species